CAAUAGCGUAUAUUAAAGUUGUUGCGGUUAAAAAGCUCGUAGUUGGAUCUCGGCAGGCAGGGGGUGGUUCGCUCUUAGCGCUACUGCCCCAUUUGCCUGUGUGAUUGGCGGAGGUUUCGGGGUGCUCUUCGUUGAGUGACCCGGGGCGCCGUCAGGUUUACUUUGAAAAAAUUAGAGUGCUCAAAGCAGGCUUUUCACGCUUGAAUAUUCGUGCAUGGAAUAAUGGAAUAGGAACUCGUUUCUAUUUUGUUGGUUUUCGGAAAUCGAGUUAAUGAUUAAUAGGGACAAUUGGGGGCAUUAGUAUUCAGACGACGGAGGUGAAAUUCUUGGACCGUCUGAAGACUAACUACUGCGAAAGCAUUUGCCAAGAGUGUUUUCAUUAA
rnacentral:rRNA from 1 species